GAAUCUUAAGCCCUCACCACGCCCUGGCAUUCCCUAGAAAAUGGGCUGAACCAAUCCACAGGCGGGGAAGAGCAGAGCCGGCCUGCCUGCCCCGGGGGGUCUGUUGCCGCUUUGGGGACCCGUGUUUGUGUAAGGAGCUCUCCUGCAGGUUCCAGGAGGAUGAAAACAUCCAAUGACUCCCAGACGUUGCUGAGCUGGACGCAUUUAUUUGUACUAACGCUCCUGGCCACACACUUCCAGAUGGACGGUCCCAAAGAGAAUCGUUUGUUUCCUCUCGUCUCCCUCCACCAUGCACUUUACGACUGCAGAGGGUCAGGCUCACCAUGUGUUUCCCUCUCAUCUAAACGGAGGGGAAGAGCGUCCCUGUUCACAGGAAGGACACACAGUCCAAGAAGAACACCUGGCCACGCCUGCGAGUGACAGCUGACUGUUACCCAACAGUUACUACCCGUCGGGCAGAAUGCAAACACCCGGCAUGUAUUCUCAAGGUCACCACAAGGCCCAACAUAGCUGCUGAAGCUCCAGCCAUCCUAUCUGCAUUCCAGACACAGUGAGAAGGCAGCGGCUGCAAGCCAGGUGGAGAGUCAUCAGCAGGGAACUGAACUGGCUGGCACCUUGAUCUUGGACUUCCAGCCUCCGAACUAUAAGAAAAUAAAUGUCUGUUGUUUAAGCCACCCAGGCUACAUUAUCUGGUUGUGGCAGCCCGAGCUAAGACACGAGCUGAGUCAGCACCGUUUCAUGGUCCUUCCCAGAAGUUCCAUCAACGCUUCAGUUUAUAUCUCAUCAGCCAGCACAUAGUCAUGUGGCCACCCCAACUGCAACAGAGGCUGGCGAAUGUCAUCUUUUUCCUGGUUUCUUUGCCACCUCAAAUAAAAUCGGAGUUUUACGACCAAGGAAGAAAGGAUAUUUGGUGGCAACCAGCAUUCUGAUGAAAAAAGGAGUCGGUGGGAGGUGGUGGGAGAAAGAGAGAAAUGAGAGGGCCUGAGAGCGAACUCUUCCGAACCGAGGAAAUUCAGCUUGAGUAAACUCACGUCAUCACACAUCAGGGAGCACCAGGAACAGAAGGCAGGAUUCCUGACCCAGAGCUUCCGUGGGACAACACAUCCCCCGUCCCCUUCCACAACAUCACAGCUGCUGGUGAAGAGGCCCCCGGGUGGGCUCCAGCUGUCAGGAGAGCAGCCUUUCUCCCAGCUUGGCCUUGGGAUGACAAAGAAGUUCGCAUGGGGUCCCUGGACAAGCACAGUGAUUCAGAUGAGCAGCAUUUUUUUCUGGCUUUAUCCCCUGCACCGAAUGAGCUAUUGGGUGAGCCUUCCUGAGCCAGUGUCAGAAGGGCUUGGUAAACGCUGAGGAAAUCUGAGAUCACUUGGGAUCGUCCAUGGCAGAGGUGGCAAGAGGGAAGCAGGCAGACCAGUCUAAAGGCUUCGCAUUGGUCCAGACAUAGUGGCAGACUAGGUUUGAAUAGUGGUCAGCAAACUAUGGUCUGUGGCCUCCUGAUUUUGUAAAUAAAGUUUUAUUGGAACAUAGACACAUCCAUGUUUACACAUCGUCCGUGGCUGCUUUGGCACUGAAGGCAAGUUGAGUGACGGUAACGGAGAUCGUCAUGGCCUGCAAGGCUGAAAAUAUUUAAUCUCUGGUCCUUUACAGGAAAAGUUUACCAACCCCUGGACUAGAGGGGGAGAUGACAGGGACAUAUUUUAGGUGUUGCCAACAAGAUUUAUUGGUAGAUUGGACACAGGAGAAAGGGAAAGACAGAAUUCGAGUUCUAGGCUUUGGGCUUGAGGAUCUUGGCGGAUGGUGGCGCCACUCACUGAGACGAGAAGAUUAUGUUUGGGAAGGAAAACCUAGAAGUCUGUUGUGAGCAUGCUAUUUUGAGAUGCCUAGGGGCACAACGACAAGCAGAGCAGAGAGCGUCUUCCCGCUCACGAGUCCAUUUGGAUUCCCAGGCCACUCACAUAACUCCGUGGCUAUUAUGAAAUCGCUCGGUGAGGGACCGAGCCUUCUCAUACAGAGGUGCAUGGUCAUCGGGAGAGUCGGGAACCAAGGGGACAGAUAUUCAGAGGCACUGACACAGGAGCCCUCGCUGUGCUCAGGAAGAUCAAGAAAGCAGGAAGACAUAAUGAACGUUCACUUUGAAUUUGGCUGGAAGGGUCAAGCAAUGAAUAGGGUGGCGUUAAUAGCUCUUUACUAAUUAGAGUUAGUACCAGC
ensembl:lncRNA